rfam:Cavia porcellus supercont2_32 genomic scaffold, whole genome shotgun sequence.
UGGCACCCAAUGUGGGGCUCCUGGCAUGGGGGAGUCAAUGAGGGAGCCAUUCUAGGAAGCCGGCUGAAAGUGAUAGCAAAUUGAACCAAAGACUGCAGUGAUAAGUGAGCAAACUAAAUCAAGGAUCAAAGCUAAAAGCAAAAAGAUAUUAAAUCAAGGACUGAGGCCUGCGUAGACAACUACCCGAUGUGCCUGCCUGAGUCACCAUGAAUGAAAGGUGACCCCAUUCCCUUUCCCGGACAUAGGUCAAGCAUUAAACAAACACAAAUUGUUUGUGGGAGGCCUUAUAAAGGCAUUAAAGACAAGAGGGGUAAGGGUUAGAACAAAAGAAUUAUUGCAGUAUUUUCAAUUUAUUCAUAAGGUUUGCCCCU